CCGAGUUUACAACUCCCAACCCCAAUGUGAACGCUACCAAACCGUUGCCUCGGCGGGAUCUUCUGCCCCGGGCGCGUCGCAGCCCCGGACCAAGGCGCCCGCCGGAGGACCAAACCCCCAAAACUCUUGCCUUUCUGCGCCCCCUCGCGGGUGUCUUCACAACCGUCUGAGCCACCUCGGCGCCCCCUCGCGGGCGUUCCGAAAAUCAAUCA
rnacentral:misc_RNA from 1 species